CUGUCUGAUUGUUUUUAGACUGGGAAACAAUGACCUGCGAAAUUCUGGAGUGAAACCGGUGUCUGCGACUCUGAGGAACCCGGACUGUAAAAUACAGAGACUGGGGCUGGCCAAUGUCGGUCUCACAGAUUCUGGAGCCGAGGAUCUCAUCUCAGCUCUCAGUACAAACCACACGGUGACGGAGCUGAACCUGAGUAGGAAUAAACUGGGAGAUUCCAGAGUGAAACUGGUGUCUGCGGCUCUGAGGAACUCGGACUGUAAAAUACAGAGCCUGUGGCUGGACGAUGUCAGUCUCACAGAUUAUGGAGCCGAGGAUCUCGUCUCUGCUCUCAGUACAAAGCCCUCACUGACGGGACUGGAGCUGGGAUUCAACUCCCUCACAGACUGAUGUGUCCCCGCUCUCCGCCGCCUCAUACAGGCCCUCCCGAGUCUGAAACGGAUCUGGUGAGUGUUUGUGUUAAUGUUUAAUGUGAUAAAAUAUCAGGGGAUCCGCGGGCUUCUCCUGUGAUUUUGUUGUGUAAAUGUUGUUGAAAUAUUAACCCCAGUCCCAGUUAUUGACACUGUUGUUUAAUCUGUUUAUUUCCUCUUUAUUCCUCGACUGUUUCAGGCUGUAUAUGAAUCAGUUCAGUGAAGAUGGACGGAAUCAGCUGAAGAGUCUGCAGGAACCCAGACCCGGACUG